rnacentral:misc_RNA from 1 species
GUUCCAAUGGCCUCCUCUCUCUCCUGCUCGGCCUCCGACCUCCUCCCCCUCCUGGGUCCCGCUGCCAAUGCCUCUGCCGCUGCUGAGUUCAUCUGCGGCCGCUUUGAGGCCAUUUCCAAUAAGUUUGUUGAUACAGGCUUUGCAGUGGAUAACACCUACCUUCUCUUUUCAACGUACUUGGUUUUUGCCAUGCAGCUUGGGUUUGCAAUGCUCUGUGCUGGUUCCGUCCGAGCAAAGAACACCAUGAACAUCAUGCUCACUAACGUUCUUGACGCUGCUACCGGUGGCUUCUUUUAUUACGCAUUUGGUUUUGCCCUGGCAUUUGGAUCACCGUCAAAUGGGUUCAUCGGCCAACAUUUCUUUGGGCUGAGUAAGAUCCCGUCGUCAUCUUUUGAUUAUAGUUUUUUUCUGUUUCAAUGGGCUUUUGCUAUAGCAGCGGCGGGAAUCACCAGCGGAUCAAUAGCGGAGAGAACCCAGUUUAUUUCAUAUUUGGUAUACUCCUCUUUCCUGACUGGUUUGGUUUAUCCGAUUGUUUCACAUUGGUUCUGGUCUUCUGAUGGGUGGGCUAGCCCUGGGAGAGCAGAAAAUCUGUUGUUUGGUUCUGGAGUUAUUGAUUUUGCUGGUUCUGGUGUUGUCCAUUUGGUUGGAGCCAUUGCUGGUUUUUGGGGUGCAAUGAUCGAAGGUCCUCGCAUUGGACGCUUUGAUGGUUCUGGCCGUGCUGUGACUAUGCGUGGGCAUAGUGGCACUUUGGUUGUAUUGGGCACUUUCUUGCUUUGGUUUGGCUGGUAUGGAUUCAAUCCUGGCUCAUUUGCCAGUAUCUUGAAGACUUAUAAUGGAAGUGGUUCCUAUUAUGGGCAAUGGAGUGCCGUUGGUAGGACUGCAGUGACCACCACUCUAGCAGGUUGCACAGCUGCAUUGACCACUCUCUUCGGGAAGAGGUUGCUGGUUGGUCACUGGAAUGUGACUGAUGUUUGCAACGGUUUGCUUGGUGGGUUUGCUGCCAUCACCGGUGGUUGCUCUGUUGUUGACCCCUGGGCUGCGGUUAUUUGUGGUUUUAUUGCUGCUUGGGUCCUUAUCGGAUGCAAUAAACUGGCAGAGAAGUACCAUUACGAUGAUCCUUUGGAAGCGGCACAGCUUCAUGGAGGCUGUGGUUCGUGGGGAAUUAUAUUCACUGGAUUGUUUGCAAAGAAGGCCUAUGUGGAGGAGGUUUAUCCGGGCCAUCCGGGAAGACCGUACGGGUUGUUUAUGGGAGGAGGUGCACGCCUGUUGGCUGCACAUAUUGUGCAGAUUUUGGUGAUAGUAGCAUGGGUGAGUGUGACUAUGGGGACAUUGUUCUUGAUUCUGCGUAAAUUGCAGUUACUGAGGAUCACAGAAGAGGAAGAAACAGAAGGUAUGGACAUGACAAGCCAUGGUGGGCAUGCAUAUUCAUAUGCAGAUGUCCUUGAUUCUCAGAAACAACUAGCUGUUUGAUUUGUUGCCGUUAGCAUAGGGAAAUCACCGUUUGAGCAGUUGUAUUUGUGCGAGGAUUUGAGUUCAUUGUGUCUGUCUUUCUUUGCUUCUUGUAAUGCUAGCUUCAGGCUCUGUAUUAAGACGAUCCUCAACGUGAAUAGAACUAGUUUGUUAAUUUGUUAGCUAGAAGGGUAGCUUGUAGUACAAUGUCAUAUUUCUAAUAAAGUUAAUUCAUGUUAGC